rnacentral:rRNA from 1 species
CUCCGAAUUUAGAUUAUUGAAGGUAGAGCACUGUAUGGGCUAGGGGACUUCACGGUUUACCGAACCUUAACAAACUUCGAAUUUCAAUUAAUUAUGUCGGGGAGUCAGACUGCGUGAGAUAAGUUUCGUAGUCAAAAGGGAAACAGCCCAGACCUACAGCUAAGGUCCCCAAAUUCAGGUUAAGUGGAAAAGGAUGUAUCGUUGCUAAAACAACCAGGAUGUUGGCUUAGAAGCAGCCACUCAUUCAAAGAGUGCGUAAUAGCUCACUGGUCGAGUGAUGCUGCGCCGAAGAUUUAACGGGGCUAAAGCAUAUAACCGAAGCUUGGGCAGUCGAAAGACUGGGUAGGGGAGCGUCGAAUUAGGGGUGAAGCAUCAGCGGAAGCAGAUGUGGACUUAAUUCGAGUGAGAAUGCCGGAAUGAGUAGCGAGAAUUGCGUGAGAAUCGUAAUGGCCGAAAAUCUAAGGUUUCCGUGGGAAGGUUCGUCCGCCACGGGUAAGCCGGGGGCUAAGGCGAGGCCGAAAGGCGUAGUCGAUGCACAUACGGUAGAUAUUCCGUAGCCGUCUAAGUUUAAGCACACUGACAUGUAUCCGGACUGUGACCCGAGCGUUGGUUGACUCGGGCGAAAGGGACUGAAAAAUAGUAGGGAAGCACAGGAAAGAUAUAGCGAGAAAAGGUGUGAGGGAUACGAAAGGCGCCCGUACCGCAAACCGACACAGGUAGAUGAGGAGAGAAUCCUAAGGCCAACGGGAGAAGGGUUGUUAAGGAACUCGGCAAAUUGACCCCGUAACUUCGGGAGAAGGGGUGCUCCAGAGAUGGAGCCGCAGAGAAUCGGCCCAAGCAACUGUUUACCAAAAACACAGGUUUGUGCUAAAUCGAAAGAUGACGUAUACGAGCUGACGCCUGCCCGGUGCUGGAAGGUUAAGAGGAGAUGUGCAAGCAUUGAAUCGAAGCCCCAGUGAACGGCGGCCGUAACUAUAACGGUCCUAAGGUAGCGAAAUUCCUUGUCAGGUAAGUUCUGACCCGCACGAAUGGCGUAAUGAUUUGGGCACUGUCUCAACAGCCCGCCCGGCGAAAUUGUAGUACUGGUGAAGAUGCCAGUUACCCGCAACUAGACGGAAAGACCCCAUGGAGCUUUACUGCAGCUUAAUACUGAGAUUCGGUAAAUCAUGUACAGGAUAGGUGGGAGACUAAGAAGCCAGGCCGUCAGGUUUGGUGGAGUCACCCUUGGGAUACCACCCUUGGUUUGCUGGGUUUCUAACCUGCGGCCCUGAAUCGGGUCGGGGGACACUGUUAGGCGGGCAGUUUGACUGGGGCGGUCGCCUCCUAAAAUGUAACGGAGGCGCUCAAAGGUUGGCUCAGCAUGGAUGGAAACCAUGCAAUGAGUGUAAACGUAUAAGCCAGCCUGACUGCGAGACCGACGGGUCGAGCAGAGACGAAAGUCGGAGUUAGUGAUCCGGUGGUAUGUGAGUGGAAAUGCCAUCGCUCAACGGAUAAAA